GAUAUGUGCUCACCCUUCUCUGCUCAGCUCUGUGCCUGGGAGGCUGACCUCUACAGACUGCAUCACCAGGCUUCCGCCCUCUGGCUUCCAGAUGGAUUUGGCCAAUGGGCAGCACCAGUGGGAAAGGAGAGGACAGGAGGAGAGACAGUCUGAGGUCAUGUAUUUAUCCCCCUCUUCCCUACCCCAUGACAGUUCUGACAGGCAGCCCCUCCGUUUCUCCAGCUCUCAGCUGAGCUCCAGUAACAAGCUUCCUUCUCUUUCCCCUUUAGGGUUGGGGUGGCAAGAGCCACCACCUGGGUGUCUCACUAUAUCUUGUUGGCUUCCCUAAUCCUGCCUACAUUAAUCAUUUUCUUAAAUUUCAAACUCUCUUGAUGCUUCCAUUUGUUUCCCGAGGAAUCCUGGCUAAUGGAGCAAGCUUGGACACAUUCCUUCAUUUCACACGUCCUCAGUUUAUUUAGCUGUAAAAUGAAGGGCCUGAGCAGCCUUUCCCAAAGUGGAUUCUGCACAUCAGUCUCACCAUAUUCCAUUUUGUAUUCUGUGGUCAAAUAUGUUUGGGAAACACUGAAUAUAAUGUCCCCUUUUGGAGAGCCACAAUUUGUGGCACCGUAUCAACAAUUCUGAGAGGUCCUGAAGUAGAUACACCUGUUUUACCCUGUUUAGUUCAGCAUUUCCCAAAUAUAGUUAACAAUGGAACCACUGUUUUUUGCUUGUUUGCUUUUGCAGAAAACCCUAAUAACAUAGAGAAAACACCAGAUCAAGUUGGGCCAUGUAUGGCAUUGUCUUAUUCUGUGGAAAGAUUGGAGUGCAAUGGCACGAUCUCAGCUCGCCGUAGCCUUGACCUCCCAGGCUCAAGAGAUCCUCUCACCUCAGCCUCCUGAGUAGCUGGGACUACAGGCACAUACCGAAUGCCCAGAAAAUUUUUUUCUUGUGAGGGCUGGGAGGACAGCGUCAAAAUAGAACUGAUGCUGAGGACAGCAGAGGAGAGGACAAGACAAACCUGAGUGGAUGGCAUCAUGGGGCCUCUGAUUGUUCCUGCAUCCAUUCCAUGUGGUUUAAGCCAGUUGAGUCAGCAUUUUCUGUCUUGAAUCCCAAAUCUUUAUAAAUGAUAGGUGUACCUUUUAAUGGAACUAUUCUUGGCCUCAAAUUCUUCCCAGAUAUACCCUGUGAGUGUUCAGGAAGCAGCAGAAUAUUAAACACUACAUUUCUUCAUUCACAGGCCUCCCUCCUCCUGUGUCCCUGACAUACAGUGACAGUGCUGCUCUGCAGGAUGGCAUAUCAGAGAGCUCAGGAUGGAUGCAGUCAAGGACGACAGCCCAUGUCCAAAAAAGCUGCCUGCUGAACAUUUGCCCAGCAGAUUUUAUAAAGAAAGGAAACAUCUUAGUGAUUUUCUUGCCUCCAGAAGAUUCCCUGAUCCAAUCUUUCCUUGGCACAAACUUUUAGUUAUUGUGUUUACAUAUACAUUUUAUAUAUGCGUGGUCAUUAUUGUAUCUG
rnacentral:lncRNA from 1 species